AACACAUACACAUAAAAUACGUAAUCAGCAAAGGUGAGUACUACAUAGUAAAUAAAUAAAACCUAACGUGAUACUGAUAAAUAUUAAGCAGGAAUAAAUAAUACGACUAUUACACCAAAUAUGUAACACCCCGUAUUUUUUAUUCAUGUUUAGCAAUUCGUUAUAUUAUUUUAGUUUAUAAAAUAAUAUUUUUUUUUAGAAUGUCCUUUUAAUCAAUAUAUUUUAUUUUCCACUUAUUGACCUUAACUUAGAAGGGUCAAAAGUUAAUUCCUAAUUUGACUAGGUUAAGUAUCAUUAAGUUAGCUAAACCAACUUAUAAAAGAAAAGUAAAGGAAAAGAAAAAAAAAAAGAAAAAAAAGUUAGAACUUAGAAGGGGAAGCAGUAGAAACCACGACACUUUUUAGUUUCCUUCUAAACUCCAUCUUCCUUCCUUUCUUUUCAUCCAACCUUCAACUCCAUUAAAACUAACCAUCAUCACUUUAAUUGUUGUUCAUCUUUCUUCAAUACUUUCUCAGUUUUUGUGGGUAUUUCAAAGAGAGAGAAUUGGGUUUUAUACUUGCAAUUUUCGGGUCGAAAAUCGGAUCAAGUAGACGAAAUUUCGGGUCUUUUUACACUCUUCUACGUUCUAAUUGCGUUAUUAAUCAAAUCGCGAGUUCGUAGAAGAACCCUUAUCACUUGUAAUUGAGAUUGGUUGAUAGUGGUUUGCUAAUAAGGGCUUGAUGGUGACUAGCUUAUAUUAGGGUGAGAGCGUUGACUUCACCUAGAUGUAGAUUUAUUAAAGUUAAGACUUCCGCUGCAAUAGAUUAGAAUUAUGGUUUGUUAUAGGAGUGUAUUAAUUAAUUACAUUUUCUUUUAGUUGUAAUAGUUAAUAAUUAAUUUAUGGUAGUAGUACCUUUC